AUACGGAGGGUGCGAGCGUUAAUCGGAAUUACUGGGCGUAAAGCGUGCGCAGGCGGUUUUGUAAGUCAGAUGUGAAAUCCCCGGGCUUAACCUGGGAACUGCGUUUGAAACUGCAAGGCUAGAGUGUGGCAGAGGGGGGUGGAAUUCCGCGUGUAGCAGUGAAAUGCGUAGAGAUGUGGAGGAACACCAAUGGCGAAGGCAGCCCCCUGGGUCAACACUGACGCUCAGGCACGAAAGCAUGGGGAGCAAACAGGAUUAGAAACCCCGGUAGUCC
rnacentral:rRNA from 1 species